CUGGCUCAGGAUGAACGCUGGCGGCGUGCUUAACACAUGCAAGUCGAACGAUGAUGCCCAGCUUGCUGGGUGGAUUAGUGGCGAACGGGUGAGUAACACGUGAGCAACCUGCCCCUGACUCUGGGAUAAGCGCUGGAAACGGCGUCUAAUACUGGAUAUGUCCCAUCACCGCAUGGUGUGUGGGUGGAAAGAUUUUUCGGUUGGGGAUGGGCUCGCGGCCUAUCAGCUUGUUGGUGAGGUAAUGGCUCACCAAGGCGUCGACGGGUAGCCGGCCUGAGAGGGUGACCGGCCACACUGGGACUGAGACACGGCCCAGACUCCUACGGGAGGCAGCAGUGGGGAAUAUUGCACAAUGGGCGCAAGCCUGAUGCAGCAACGCCGCGUGAGGGAUGACGGCCUUCGGGUUGUAAACCUCUUUUAGCAGGGAAGAAGCGAGAGUGACG
rnacentral:rRNA from 1 species